GAUGAAGAAACGUAGCGAAAUGCGAUACGUAGUGUGAAUUGCAGAAUUCAGUGAAUCAUCGAAUCUUUGAACGCACAUUGCGCCCGUCAGUAUUCUGGCGGGCAUGCCUGUUCGAGCGUCAUUACGCCCCUCAAGUCCCCUGUGGACUUGGUGUUGGGGAUCGGCGAGGCUGGUUUUCCAGCACAGCCGUCCCUUAAAUUAAUUGGCGGUCUCGCCGUGGCCCUCCUCUGCGCAGUAGUAAAACACUCGCAACAGGAGCCCGGCGCGGUCCACUGCCGUAAAACCCCCCAACUUUUUAUAGUUGACCUCGAAUCAGGUAGGACUACCCGCUGAACUUAAGCAUAUCAAUAAGCGGAGGA
rnacentral:misc_RNA from 1 species